AUUGAACGCUGGCGGCAGGCCUAACACAUGCAAGUCGAGCGGAUGAAGGGAGCUUGCUCCUGGAUUCAGCGGCGGACGGGUGAGUAAUGCCUAGGAAUCUGCCUGGUAGUGGGGGAUAACGUCCGGAAACGGGCGCUAAUACCGCAUACGUCCUGAGGGAGAAAGAGGGGGAUCUUCGGACCUCACGCUAUCAGAUGAGCCUAGGUCGGAUUAGCUAGUUGGUGGGGUAAAGGCCUACCAAGGCGACGAUCCGUAACUGGUCUGAGAGGAUGAUCAGUCACACUGGAACUGACACACGGUCCAGACUCCUACGGGAGGCAGCAGUGGGGAAUAUUGGACAAUGGGCGAAAGCCUGAUCCAGCCAUGCCGCGUGUGUGAAGAAGGUCUUCGGAUUGUAAAGCACUUUAAGUUGGGAGGAAGGGCAGUAAGUUAAUACCUUGCUGUUUUGACGUUACCAACAGAAUAAGCACCGGCUAACUUCGUG
rnacentral:rRNA from 1 species